ACCGAGUGCGGGUCCUUUGGGCCCAACCUCCCAUCCGUGUCUAUUGUACCCUGUUGCUUCGGCGGGCCCGCCGCUUGUCGGCCGCCGGGGGGGCGCCUCUGCCCCCCGGGCCCGUGCCCGCCGGAGACCCCAACACGAACACUGUCUGAAAGCGUGCAGUCUGAGUUGAUUGAAUGCAAUCAGUUAAAACUUUCAACAAUGGAUCUCUUGGUUCCGGCAUCGAUGAAGAACGCAGCGAAAUGCGAUAACUAAUGUGAAUUGCAGAAUUCAGUGAAUCAUCGAGUCUUUGAACGCACAUUGCGCCCCCUGGUAUUCCGGGGGGCAUGCCUGUCCGAGCGUCAUUGCUGCCCUCAAGCCCGGCUUGUGUGUUGGGUCGCCGUCCCCCUCUCCGGGGGGACGGGCCCGAAAGGCAGCGGCGGCACCGCGUCCGAUCCUCGAGCGUAUGGGGCUUUGUCACAUGCUCUGUAGGAUUGGCCGGCGCCUGCCGACGUUUUCCAACCAUUCUUUCCAGGUUGACCUCGGAUCAGGUAGGGAUACCCGCUGAACUUAAGCAUAUC
rnacentral:rRNA from 2 species